AGGAAGAAGAAAAGCAACCAGUAACAACCAAAGAGUCUCAAGCAUGGCCUGGUGUAUUUGCAGUGAGCCAGAGCACGGGCUGGAACAAAACCUGGAGAAGGCAAAGGGAUCAGGACGUGACAGAGUCACAAACUGCUGUGGAUUCACUGGAGGAACAUUCAGGAAAUGCCUGCUGCCUUUGAAGCCAAACAUCCUGGAUCUGUCUUCCUCAAGCACCAACACCUCAAAGACCUAUCAAUCAUCUGCCUCCACCUUCAACAGGACAGGACUCUGUGUCCUCUGAAAUCCACACACUCUGGGCAGCAUAGUGCUGGUAUACUGAUUUUUUUUCUUGCUCCUAAUUUGAAUAAUAAAAAGGAAAAAACCCCUCUUGUUCAGUGAUUACUCCAUCACUGACAGCAUAGGACCAUUCAAUCCUCUCCAAUGCAUCACAUCCCCUGUAGCUAAGCCCUGGAUCUGCUGUCAGCUUGGGCUCUGCACAAACCCAGUCUGAAUUUUAGCUUCCCUGGGUGGUCUCAGGUGAUGAGAGUUUUUUGUCAGGCUGAGAGCUGCAGAAACCACCGUAAACACUCAGCAGCUCAUCAUCCUUCACCGGACACCUUGAAAGGGCACAUGUUAAAAGAUGGACG